AGAACUGGAACCCAAGCUGAACCCUUCUUGGAUGAUAAUGUGGCUACUAAACAACCAUUUAUAUCUGCUGUAUCAACAUGAAUGAUCUCAUUCAAGAAAUCUACUCACAGUUCCAGAAAUUUCACUCUGUGCUCUCAUAAACACUUUUCCUUUAUAAAUUACACUUAUCACUGAGUAUAGGCCACUGGACAGUUACAUCUGUACAAAGAUAGGAAAUAUAAAUUGCUACCUAACUGAAAACCUUCUGCCACCUGUUUGGAGACACAAAAGCAGAAAGCAAUGUAUUUUAUUUUUGAAGAAAAGAAAGAGAUCAGGCUCUGAACACCUACUCUGUGCUACCCACUAAGAUAUUUUGCACUCAUCUAUUUUUAUUCUCCAAACUACUUCAUGAGAGUUCAAAUGGUGCCAGCUCUUCUCAUUGAUAAAUGGACUCAUCGUUCCUUCCAUUGUGGAUCAUAGAACACCUGUCUUCUAGGAAACAAAAGUCCAGUUCUCUAACAGCCUAAGUUUCCAUUAUCCUCACAAGAGCAAAGAUUGGAUGAUACAGAGAUGAACACCAAGACUAUUUUAGAAACUACAUGUGGAAGACCACUGAGAUAUAAAACUUAGAAAAAAAUUGGUCCUGAAUCAAUGCCUUGAAGACAGUUGCACAGAAGAGAACAAUCCAAUAAUGAGAACAUCCUGGAGGAUCACAGAGUCCAGAGUCCCCAGAGAGAGGGAGAGCAAUCAUGUCUUCUAGAUGGCGAAUUGCUUACACAUAU